AGCAACAUAUUCACUGGACGGCUGAUCCAUUCCUCAACCAUCCAGUAGAUAUGUUGCUCGC
rnacentral:pre_miRNA from 1 species